CGGGUGCCCCGCUUGCGGUCGGUUUACAGGUGGUGCAUGGUUGUCGUCAGCUCGUGUCGUGAGAUGUUGGGUUAAGUCCCGCAGGCGAGCGCNACCCUCGUUCUAUGUUGCCAGCGCGUUAUGGCGGGGACUCAUAGGGGUCUGCCGGGGUCAACUCGGAGGAAGGUGGGGACGACGUCAGAUCAUCAUGCCCCUUAUGUCUUGGGCUUCACGCAUGCUACAAUGGCCGGUCAGAGGGUUGCGGUACUGUGAGGUGGAGCUGAUCCCAAGAGCCGGUCUCAGUUCGGAUUGGGG
rnacentral:rRNA from 1 species